GACGAACGCUGGCGGCGUGCUUAACACAUGCAAGUCGAACGGAAAGGCCCUGCUUUUGUGGGGUGCUCGAGUGGCGAACGGGUGAGUAACACGUGAGUAACCUGCCCUUGACUUUGGGAUAACUUCAGGAAACUGGGGCUAAUACCGGAUAGGAGCUCCUGCUGCAGGGUGGGGGGUGGAAAGUUUCGGCGGUUGGGGAUGGACGCGCGGCUUAUCAGCUUGUUGGUGGGGUAGUGGCUUACCAAGGCUUUGACGGGUAGCCGGCCUGAGAGGGUGAACGGCCACCUUGGGACUGAGAUACGGCCCAGACUCCUACGGGAGGCAGCAGUGGGGAAUAUUGCACAAUGGGCGGAAGCCUGAUGCAGCAACGCCGCGUGCGGGAUGACGGCCUUCGGGUUGUAAACCGCUUUCGCCUGUGACGAAGCGUGAGUGACGGUACUGGGUAAAGAAGCACCGGCUAACUACGUG
rnacentral:rRNA from 1 species